AUCCAUUCUUCUGAGCUUUCCGCCAUUCUCAAGGGCAAAAGCCAGUGCCAUGGACAGAUCUCCUAUUUGUUCGGAGUUUCGACCUCUCCCAAAUGGAACAAUCUCUGUUGAAACUUCUUCAAUGGAGAGUGAUAUAUUACUUCGACUAGUUCUACUGUGCACACUUCCACUUCUAAUGCCAUUCUGUGGUCAUGGAACAGUUCGAGUAAAUUGGAAAUUUAUAAUACCUAAAACUGUGAUAAGCUUGAGCCAUGGCACUUACACUUCUAUGGGUCUUCAUAUCUCUGGAUCCUCUGUGUAUUUGCUUGGAAUAAGCAUAUACAUCUGCACAAGCACACGAUGCAGAGAAAACAAUGAUGAUACUUCGCAACUAAGUAAUGAAAAUGCAGGAACUUUGGUAUGCUGGAAGACUAGAUGUCACUAUCUAGUUUUAGAUGAUAAUUUCCUGACAUUUUAUUUCUCUUGGUAUUGAAAAUAAAGCGCUCGCCAUACAUGCCCUAAUAAAGCUUUAAUAUUUGGUUUUCUUUCAUCUUACCCUUCGCCACUGUUUUCAUCGAGUUUCUGUUCAUUUUUAGAUUUUUCUGGAACAGAGCAUUAUUAGCAUAUCACAAGAGUUUUUGGUUGGGAAACUGCAUCACAAGUAGCAUUAUUAUGCUACUACGAUACGAGACUAGGUUACUUGCUCCUUGUUCUAUCGUUUUUGAAUGAAGGUGGAAGGCAGGCCCUGCUUCUGUCAUCAGCGAGGUGUCUGAAUUUAUUUUUAUUUUCUUAACUUAGCCAUAUCAUACUUUCUAUUAAUCCCUGCUCUUUUGUAUUCCAAAUUGGCCAUCCCAAUAAUCUUCUUAUACUUUACUUAAAAGAGCAGGUAAGGUCAUUGAGUAAGAAUAAUCAUUAAUUUAGUUUCGAGACCUAGCUAUUAAUUUUACACUUCUGAUGAGAACUGAACUGAUGAUAAAAACUUGCGAUUCCUCAUGUUUAGAGGCAUGAUAGCUUUUCAAGUUGCGUGAUAGUCUUAAACCAUAGCUUUUACUUGCUUUAAGACUUCUAAAUUUUCAAUUUUGUUUUUGAGCUGAAGAAAAUAAAGUGUGAAAUAUAAUAGAAUACUAACCUGGAGCAGCUGAUUUUGAACCUUCUGAGCUAUGAGAUACAGCCAUUCGUUCCUUCCUCGACCGGAGAUCUUCUAACAGCUUCUGUGCAAAAUCUGAUCUCUUAGCCAUGUUGUUCCUCAAUGUUGGAACCAAGUUCCUCCCUCAAACUCUUCAGUUGAGAGGACUCUUUCGGAGUUGGGUGAGGUGGGAAGUCCAGUAGAAUGGAGUUUUGAAUCUUUAACCUGAAAGUUUGACGUUAACGUUAGCUCCCCCCCCAGGGGUAGUGUCCUUACUUGUAUUCUAAUCCAAGCAAUGGCAGAGGGUUUCUUCCAAGCAUUCUGCGGCUACCAUCUAUGCUUCCUUUUCCUUUUUUAUUACGCUUGUUACUUGAAAAUUGCAGAAGUUAUAUUUUGAUUUAUUCAUUAUGAUUCCUGGCAAUUAAAGAGUAAAUAGAUGCUAUUGUGCA